rnacentral:piRNA from 1 species
UGGGAUUCCAAUAUACACUUGACAAAUGA